AAGCUAAUUCUAAAAGUAGUUAUACUAGCAGUAGCUUCUUAAGAAUAAUGCAUGUAUGUGAAAAACCAUUUAGCUAAGAUGAGUUUUAAGCUUGAAUCUGAUUAGCCAGAAAAGCAUGUACGAGUUAUCAGUUGUCAGAAAAACUACUACCUUGGACUUCUGGAGCAUGGACUUUGAACUAUUCAGGAUACUGGUAGGGAGAAUCCCUUGGGAGUCUGUUCUUAAGGGUAAAGGGUCCAGGAAAGCUGGAUGUUUUUCAAGAAGGAAGUCUUAAAGGAACUGUGCUGUAACUGGAUGGGAAGAAGGCUGGUGUGGAUGUACAGAGAAAUUUUGCUGAGAUUCCAGGAGAAAAAGAGAGUCUGCCUCCUGUGGAAGAGGGGAUGGGCGACUCAGGGAGAAUACAAGGAAGUUACUACGAUGGUGACGCACAUCUUCCUGAAAUGAGCACUCUGCUUAUAAAGAGCAUGGAUAUGAAGGCAAACUGAUGGAGAACAAGCUUAAUUUAAUAAUGCAGUUGAUGGGAUGAAGUAUGCUUUCAGCAAGAUUGCAGGCGAUUAGUGGGAGAAGUGGACGAUGCCCCUUGGUUGUGCUGCUGCUCAGAGGGACCUGGGCUGAUGGAAGCCUCCUCAAGUUCAGCAAAAGAAACUGCUGAGUCCUGCACCUGGACUAGGAUUCAAGAAGAGAGCUGCUUCUGUUGGAGCAAGACUCCGGUCUGCAUUGACAACCUGACUGCUUCUUACUGUUGCCCCUGAGAAAUUGCCGAGGAUAUUUUCGCUGGCUGCUGCAGAAUGUUGUGAAUGAAACACCCCAUAAGAUCACUGUAGAUGUCUUCUUUUGUUUGAGUUGUGCAUCUAAAUUGGGCACUGUUUUUUCUAGUCUUUUCCCCAAGGCUUCCUGAAGGAAAAUGUAGUAUGGUUUUCAGCAUGGAAAAAGCAGGAGGAAAAUGAGUAAGGGUUUUUUAUUUUGUCUUGCUUUGCAUGGUGGUGGUUGCUGUUGUCUUUUCCUUCAAAAAAGGAAUGCAUAGCCCUCGUAACUUUCUGAGAUGUUGGUUAGGAUUUGCGGGACCUGAUGUGGAAUUUCAGAUGGCAUUGCAAUAAUCAGAUAACCAUCUAGAAUAAUUUUUUCUAAUGUCUGACAAGUAUGUCAUUUUGAAACUUGGGAAAAAAAUGGGAUAUUAAUAAAUUCUGAUUAAUUAGAAAGUAUUUGCAGUAUUUCUUCCUCUUGCUUUUUCCCAGUACCCCUCAUUCUUCUGUAGCUAUCUUCUGUGCUUAAAAGACUGUAUGAGAGGCAUUCUAGAGUCAAAGAAAUUCCCCUGGCAUUGUUUAGACAUCACAGUGAAAAACAAGUGAGUUGUGCUGGUAAUGCAACAUACUCGUGGAAGAAUGGGGAACACAGUGCCUCAGAUCCAUGCAUUCUGAAUGGAACCUUGUGAGAUCCUUCUUAUCAUCACUCUGUCUUGCAUAUCUUCCGUCUAUGAAUGCACAACUUCCUGGAAAAAUUAUUAAUGACAACCCUCAGGGGUUUAACAAGCUCUUUGGAGUGCAGGGCCUGUCUUUCAGUUCUGUAUUAAUACAGCUGCUUCGACAGUGGAGAACUUGCUGUGUUACUUUUUGCACAGACAGAUGAAUUUUCUCCUCUUAUUUUUGUCAUUAUCUGUUUUGAUAUUUUUUUCAUUUUUCAAGCAACAUUAAAUCACGUGCAGAGAGAAAGCUGCUCAUCCUCCUAGAUGCAGUUCAGGGAAUAGUAAUCUGACCAACCUCCCCUAUAGCUCUUUCCUCCAGGCCUACUUCCCAGCACUGCACCCAUAUGCAAAGAUGAUCCUGUUGGUGGAUGCUGGACUGAAUGUACGCAAGCUCAGGAACUACUGACUCCCCUUUGUAGGGCUAGAGCAGGUGUCCUGUGCCCACCUGAAAAUUUACUGGGCUGUGCUGGUCUUACCUUGCUGAAGAUAAAAACAGAAAAUAGAUUCUUCAUUAAAAUUGUGUUUCCUAGUAUUAAGCAAGAGAAAGUAAUCUGAAGUAUAAGUAAUAGAUUCUUCCAGGAGAUACACCUCUACAAAUGAGUUUUAUGAUGAAUAUUUUGGUAACUGAUGGAGCUGAAAGACUCUGAAGAUUGGACUGCUAUAUUUGUUUUACUCAGGCAAUCAGCAACUGCAUUAGUCACCCUCAGUCAUUAUAGUGCCUUCAUCUCUUAUUCCUGGAGACUAACACGUUUUGUACCACUUCCUUUUAAUAGACGCAAAGCAGACUUUGCAAGAAAGAAACUUGCAAGUUUAGCCAGUUGGUGUAGCCAGGCACGAGACACUUUCCUUCCAAUUUUAAGGGCUUAUUUUCCAUAACCUCCCAUAUUCAGAAAGAAUCAGAUAUAAGUACUUAUGCAUGCUGAGUCUAAAAUAUAUCCUGCCAUUGUUAAUGAGUACUCAAACCCCCACCUCUUGCACAGGCAGUGACAAAAUGGGUUUGUUCGUUGGACUGCAUCUCCCCAUCACUUUAUGGAUGUCAUUUAUGCAGGCUGUCACUAAUUAUAAAAAAGAUGUCUAAUAUAUCUGUAUAUCUAGGUCUCAAUACAUCACAAAUUAAAAGGUGUUUAAAGUUUCUCUUGCAUAUAGGUUAGUACUGGUGCUAAACAUCAGCUGUAGCGUAUUUUGACACUUUGUUAUGAGAUUGCUGAAGAAUGGCUGAUGAACUUGUCAACCUCUUUCUAUGGGUAGCUGUUAUCAUCUACUUAAUUAUUUUUUUAUAACAUCUGAAGUAUAAUACAUACUACAGACACUUCUUGCAUUCUGUAAUAAGCCAACCACCUGUGAGGAUCAUUUAAAAACAGAUGGUGAAGAAACAAUUUUGCCGAAGUGUUAAAAUUAUGGGAUAAUGCUGGAAAUUAUUGCCUGAUGUUUAUUAAUAUAGUAGUUAUGACCCCUAAUCAUUUUGCAUGUAUAGUUUGUUGCACUCAUUCUUUUGAAUGAAAUACUCAUUAUGCAAAGUUGCUUUCAUAGAAUGUAUGAGUGUAAAAGAAAGUUCCUGUAACGUGAAAUAGUCCAAAUAUGCCACUGACUUUAACUAUGUUUUCUUGCUGUCUUGCAUAUUCUGCAUAUAUAGUGCUCUGCUGCAGGGGAACAGAUGUGUGUUGGAAAUGAAUAGAUAGGCAUAACUUCUUCCUGGUACAACUUCAGGUGUUGAAUUAGAGCUAUUUGCAUAUAAAAAUCAAUCAAUUUGAAGAAAUAGCUUUAAAGUCUGAUGAGUAUGUUUUGUAUUACGUCAGUAGAGGACUAGUGUGUGAAGUCUCUCAGCAUUUACUCUAGGAAUCUCCUAGAGAGGAGUAAAUAUUGGCAUUGUUUCCUAGUUGAAGCUUUUGAUGGAUGCCUGGUGGUAACAAUCUUUUGAGUUUUGAUUUUUCUUAUACUGGUACUUACAGCACAACUGAAGGAGCCCAACUCUUGCUUGUCAUUCAGGUAUCAUUGUGAAGUAUGAGCAAACCAUUCCCUCCAAGCAAUGCACUUGUUGGAUCUGGUCUUUAUUUACUUGCAGAGCUUGAUUGAUUUAUUUAUUUUUAACAGAUUUUCACUAUCACCAUCUCAUCUCUGGGGAAAAGAAUUUGUUUUCUUUUAAUAAGUUGUCUUCUCAAAUAGUAAAAAAUGUUUCAAAAAGACAAUUCAUUAUUACAUUGCCAGAGAUCCU